AUUCCAGCUCCAGUAGCGUAUAUUAAAGUUGUUGCAGUUAAAAAGCUCGUAGUUGGAUUUCUGGCGUGGUGCGCCCGGUCCGCCGCCGCUAAGGCGGCGAGUACCGGUGCGCGCCUGCCAUCCUUCCGGAGAGUGUGCCUACCCUUCACUGGGCCGGGCACGCGAUCUGGAUCGUUUACUUUGAAAAAAUUAGAGUGUUUAAAGCAGGCUUACGCUUCUGAAUACAUUAGCAUGGAAUAAUAAGAUAGGACUUUGGUUCUAUUUUGUUGGUUUCUAGGACUAAAGUAAUGAUUGAUAGGGACAGUUGGGGGUGCUAGUAUUUAACGGCCAGAGGUGAAAUUCUUGGAUUCGUUAAAGACUAACUAAUGCGAAAGCAUUCACCAAGGAUGUCUUCAUCG
rnacentral:rRNA from 1 species